AGGACGAACGCUGGCGGCGUGCCUAAUACAUGCAAGUCGAACGGUCUUUCUAUGGAAGCUUGCUUCCACUGAGAAGAUAGUGGCGAACGGGUGAGUAACACGUGGGUAACCUGCCCAUAAGAGGGGGAUAACAUCCGGAAACGGGUGCUAAUACCGCAUAGUUUUCUUGAUCGCAUGAUUGAGAAAGGAAAGACGGCCUUUGUGCUGUCGCUUAUGGAUGGACCCGCGGCGUAUUAGUUAGUUGGUGAGGUAACGGCUCACCAAGACGAUGAUACGUAGCCGACCUGAGAGGGUGAUCGGCCACAUUGGGACUGAGACACGGCCCAAACUCCUACGGGAGGCAGCAGUAGGGAAUCUUCCGCAAUGGACGAAAGUCUGACGGAGCAACGCCGCGUGAGUGAAGAAAAGGUUUUCGGAUCGUAAAACUCUGUUGUCAGAGAAGAACAAGUUGGAGAGUAACUGCUCCAGCCUUGACGGUAUCUGACCAGAAAGCCACGGCUAACUACGUGCCAGCCGCUGC
rnacentral:rRNA from 1 species